UACAGAGGUCUCAAGCGUUGUUCGGAUUCAUUGGGCGUAAAGGGUGCGUAGGCGGUGAGGCAAGUCUGGUGUGAAAUCCCGGAGCUCAACUCUGGAACUGCACUGGAUACUGCUUUACUAGAGCACUGGAGAGGGAACUGGAAUUUACGGUGUAGCAGUGAAAUGCGUAGAGAUCGUAAGGAAGACCAGCGGCGAAGGCGAGUUCCUGGACAGUGGCUGACGCUGAGGCACGAAGGCCAGGGGAGCAAACGGG
rnacentral:rRNA from 1 species